GUCCUUGCCAAUAGACAAGCAUGGCGCUUGCAACGCCAGGGUUGUGGGUUCGAUUCCCACGGGGGACC
rnacentral:tRNA from 1 species